rnacentral:rRNA from 1 species
UACAGAGGGGGCAAGCGUUGUUCGGAAUUACUGGGCGUAAAGGGCGCGUAGGCGGCCUGCUAAGUCGAACGUGAAAUCCCUGGGCUCAACCCAGGAACUGCGUCCGAUACUGGUUGGCUUGAAUCCGGGAGAGGGACGUGGAAUUCCAGGUGUAGCGGUGAAAUGCGUAGAUAUCUGGAGGAACACCGGUGGCGAAGGCGACGUCCUGGACCGGCAUUGACGCUGAGGCGCGAAAGCCAGGGAGCAAACGGG